AUGCUGCAAAAAAAAGAAACUUCAAAUAACCUCAAUUGCAAAAUAAGUUCUGGAAAUAUGAGAUUCGAUCUUUUAAAUAUGGAGGGGAGGGUUGCAACUGAAUUAUGAUGGUGGCUGCAAUUC